UACGUAGGCAGCAAGCGUUGUUCGGAGUUACUGGGCGUAAAGGGUGCGUAGGCGGCUUUUUAAGUCUGGUGUGAAAUCUCCCGGCUCAACUGGGAGGGUGCGCCGGAUACUGAGGGGCUAGAGUGUGGGAGAGGAAAGUGGAAUUCCUGGUGGUAGCGGUGAAAUGCGUAGAUAUCAGGAGGAACACCGGUGGUGUAAACGGCUUUCUGGACCAUAACUGACGCUGAGGCACGAAAGCGUGGGUAGCAAACAGG
rnacentral:rRNA from 1 species